GUGAUGUAGCUCAGUGGUAGUGAAUCUGCUUUGCAUGCAGAAGGUCCCAGGCUUCAAUCCCCAGCAUCUCCA
rnacentral:tRNA from 1 species